rnacentral:rRNA from 1 species
UACGGAGGGAGCUAGCGUUGUUCGGAAUUACUGGGCGUAAAGCGCGCGUAGGCGGCUUUGUAAGUUAGAGGUGAAAGCCCGGGCUCAACCCCGGAACUGCCUUUAAAACUGCAUCGCUUGAAUCCAGGAGAGGUGAGUGGAAUUCCGAGUGUAGAGGUGAAAUUCGUAGAUAUUCGGAAGAACACCAGUGGCGAAGGCGGCUCACUGGAGCUGGUAUUGACGCUGAGGUGGCGAAAGCGGUGGGGAGCAAACAGG